rnacentral:rRNA from 2 species
AGAGUUUGAUUCUGGCUCAGAACGAACGCUGGCGGCGUGGAUAAGACAUGCAAGUCGAACGAGAGAAUUGCUAGCUUGCUAAUAAUUCUCUAGUGGCGCACGGGUGAGUAACACGUGAGUAACCUGCCCCCGAGAGCGGGAUAGCCCUGGGAAACUGGGAUUAAUACCGCAUAGUAUCGAAAGAUUAAAGCAGCAAUGCGCUUGGGGAUGGGCUCGCGGCCUAUUAGUUAGUUGGUGAGGUAACGGCUCACCAAGGCGAUGACGGGUAGCCGGUCUGAGAGGAUGUCCGGCCACACUGGAACUGAGACACGGUCCAGACACCUACGGGUGGCAGCAGUCGAGAAUCAUUCACAAUGGGGGAAACCCUGAUGGUGCGACGCCGCGUGGGGGAAUGAAGGUCUUCGGAUUGUAAACCCCUGUCAUGUGGGAGCAAAUUAAAAAGAUAGUACCACAAGAGGAAGAGACGGCUAACUCUGUGCCAGCAGCCGCGGUAAUACAGAGGUCUCAAGCGUUGUUCGGAAUCACUGGGCGUAAAGCGUGCGUAGGCUGUUUCGUAAGUCGUGUGUGAAAGGCGCGGGCUCAACCCGCGGACGGCACAUGAUACUGCGAGACUAGAGUAAUGGAGGGGGAACCGGAAUUCUCGGUGUAGCAGUGAAAUGCGUAGAUAUCGAGAGGAACACUCGUGGCGAAGGCGGGUUCCUGGACAUUAACUGACGCUGAGGCACGAAGGCCAGGGGAGCGAAAGGGAUUAGAUACCCCUGUAGUCCUGGCAGUAAACGGUGCACGCUUGGUGUGCGGGGAAUCGACCCCCUGCGUGCCGGAGCUAACGCGUUAAGCGUGCCGCCUGGGGAGUACGGUCGCAAGAUUAAAACUCAAAGAAAUUGACGGGGACCCGCACAA